GCGAAAAACCUUACCUACCCUUGACAUGCUUGGAAUUUUACGGAGACAUAAAAGUGCCCGAAAGGGAACCAAGACACAGGUGCUGCAUGGCUGUCGUCAGCUCGUGUCGUGAGAUGUUGGGUUAAGUCCCGCAACGAGCGCAACCCUUAUCAUUAAUUGCUAUCAUUUAUUUGAGCACUUUAAUGAGACUGCCGGUGACAAACCGGAGGAAGGUGGGGAUGACGUCAAGUCCUCAUGGCCCUUAUGGGUAGGGCUUCACACGUAAUACAAUGGAGUGUACAGAGGGUAGCCAGCCCGCGAGGGGGAGCCAAUCUCACAAAGCACUUCGUAGUCCGGAUCGGAGUCUGCAACUCGACUCCGUGAAGUCGGAAUCGCUAGUAAUCGCGGAUCAGCAUGUCGCGGUGAAUACGUUCCCGGGUCUUGUACACACCGCCCGUCACACCAUGGGAGUGGUUUUCACCAGAAGCUGGUAGCUUAACCGUAAGGAGGGCGCCUGCCACGGUGAGAGUCAUGACUGGGGUG
rnacentral:rRNA from 1 species